AACAGUGCCACACUCUGCCCCUAUGUGUCAAGCUGUAAAUAUGGAUGUCUUUGGAACCAGAGGACAACUGGACAGUGUCAGGUCCAGGUGUCGUCCGUCCAAAUGCUAACCGCCUUGCUAACUCGUAUGCAAGAGAAUUAAAACCUUAGGAGUUUAGAUACCCAACCAUCCAAAACAAUCGAUAGUGCACAAGAGCAGUGAAGAAGAGCGCACAGGCAGGAGUGAGGGGAUUCGGGACAGAAGGACAAGAGCAAGAGUGAAAGGGAAGGUUUGAGGAGUGAGACCCGCUAUGAUGGAUGUUUGAGAUGGUGGCAAUGACAAAAAGACAUGAGGCCGAGCUGGAGGUGACAUAGCUGAAGAUGCUAUUUUUGGAGACAAAGACAAGGUGGAGAUGGGGUCACACCAGCACCUCACCCUGUCUGCAGCAUCCUCCUCUGUCACACCAGCUUUCUGCAGGUCGUCUUUCACUUCAUCCAUGAAUCUUCUCUGUGGUCUUUCCUGCCUGGCAGCUUUAACAUCCUUUGUCCAGUAUGUCUGCUAUCCCUUCUCUGCAUGUGUCAAAACCAUUUCAUCCUUGUGUUUCUACCUUUGAUUUUUAUAUAAUUUAAAUGGACACAAGGAUUUAUAUUAAAAUAUCCUUUUAAUUACAA